GAUGAACGCUGGCGGCGUGCUUAACACAUGCAAGUCGAGCGAGUCGAAGUUUCCUUCGGGAAACGGUAGUUAAGCGGGCGGACGGGGGUAGAGUAAACACCGUGGGUAACCUUAGCCUCCAAUAGAGGGUAGGAAUACGUCCGUUACCGAAAGGAAGACUUAAUACCGGCAUAAGUGUUGAAACGAUGGACAGUCAACUUACUAAUUUAACCAAACGGAGACAAUCCCGUCGUUAAGUAGGAGUAGUGGUACCCGCGGGCGACAUUUAGCCUAGGUUGGUGGGGUAACGGCCUACCAAGGCGACGAUGCGUAGCCGACCUGAGGGGUGAUCGGCCACAUUGGGACUGAGACACGGCCCAG
rnacentral:rRNA from 1 species